AUGCCGUAUGUGUCUAAUUUAAAUGUCCAUCUGUCAUCAAUGUUUUUUUUACUUGUUACAGUUAUUAGUAUCCUUGGUGACAACAUUAACUGUUGUUAUAUUAUAUACAAUUUAAAACAGCUGAAGUUUCAAUUAAAGAUGAAUCUCACCUGUCCUUAUGAAGCUAAGAAUGGGAUGGAUGUUUUUCCUGCUUCAUGUAUUAACCUAUGCUUAACUGUGAUGCUUACCAGAGAAUUAAUUAAUGUUUGUACAAGAGUGUUUAUUAUAGAUAGUGAAAAAAUAUGUAACAUAAAUAGUGAUUAA